rnacentral:lncRNA from 1 species
GUAGCUAUUUGAGAGACAAGUAUGCCUAACCUGAUUUGAAGAUUGCUAAUGUGCACAUUGUAUUCAAAUAUCUUGUGAUACCCUAUGAAUAUGUACAAUUUUUAGUAUCAUUUAAUAAUAAAUACCUUUGGCUGGCCAGAGUGGUGCAUGCCUAUAAUCCCAGUGGCUUGGGAGGCUGAGCUAGAAGGAUGAAAGUUUAAGACUAGUCUCAGAAAAUAAGUGAAGCACUAAGAAACUUAGCUAGAGCCUGUCUACAAAUAAAAAGGCCUGCAGAUGUGGAUCAGUAGUGAACAGCUCCUGGGUCAAUCCUUGCUACCAGUAAUAACAAUAGUAAAUUAAUCAAUUAAAACUUUCCUUUUGUUUCAUAGUGUCAUUGGCUCACAUACUUACUGUCUUCAAUUCCAGCAGUAAUGUAAAAAGAACCUCUCAUACCUUAUAUCUCUGACUGUGUCCUCUGCUGCAUCUCUGUAUUCUGCUUUGAGGGCCCAUGUAAAUAGAGUAGGACAAUCAGAUACCAGUGUGUACACCAGUGUAUAAGAGAAAAAUAUCUCCCCCUCUAUGAUCUGCCAAUCAGCAGUCUUAGCAUCAUCUUUAAACCCCAGUUAACCCAAUGUAACCUCAGGAGUGAUGGCAAGAGCAUUCUCCAAGUCGUCUUGGAACAACCCUGUUCACAGUCCCACGUUAUCCCUUGUAGUUCUCAGGACAACUGCAAAAUAUACUGAGAAGGUAACACCAUAAGCUAGGAAGAAACUAAGUGGAACAACAUAAUUUCUAUUCCAGUUUUCCUAGAAUCAGUAUGUCCUUUAAUGAUUUAGAGAGUGUUGUGGUUCUAGGGCACAAAACCCAAGGUGGACAUCUUCCUGGGGUCCUUAAGCUUUAGUGUAAGUGGACCAUAUUUGGAUGAAACUGAAUCCUCUGUGUGGAGCCUUCAUGACUGCCAGGGACAAGCUUGGAAUGAAUCCAAAGCUUCUGCAUGCCCUUGCUCCCUGUCCGUAAGUAAUAAACCUGUCUCAUGUACCCAGGGUGUGUGGAUGUUCUGUUUCAUCAGACUAAAAGAAGUUGAUUUCCAGUCCAAAAUCAAUUUGCUUUACAAUAAUAUCUGGGGUUGGGAAUUUUCUAUGGCAUGGUUUUGAAUUUUAAAAACCAUAGAAAUUGUAAAUAUACCUACAAAUAAUUUACCCUUAAUGAGUAUUAGGAAAAAUAAUAAGAGGACACAGAAACAAGAUGUAGAGGCAGAAAGAAAAAUGGAUGCUUUUCCAAGUGACAGUGUUUAUUUACAUGGAUAGGUUACAUUAGGUAAUUAGGACCAUAAUUACAUUUUUAUUGCUUAGAGUACCAGCAAUGUUGUUUAUUCUGCAGUUUUAUUCCACAGUUACAAUAUGCAAAGUCAGAAGCUUUGUGCAGCUCUUAAGAAAUUCAUUGUCUAAAGUAACUUUUAAGUGGGCAGAUCCAGG